rnacentral:rRNA from 1 species
UGAGGAAUAUUGGUCAAUGGGCGAGAGCCUGAACCAGCCAAGUAGCGUGCAGGAUGACGGCCCUAUGGGUUGUAAACUGCUUUUAUAUGGGGAUAAAGUGGGGAACGUGUUCCCUUUUGCAGGUACCAUAUGAAUAAGGACCGGCUAAUUCCGUGCCAGCAGCCGCGGUAAUACGGAAGGUUCGGGCGUUAUCCGGAUUUAUUGGGUUUAAAGGGAGCGUAGGCCAUUUGGUAAGCGUGUUGUGAAAUGUAGGAGCUCAACUUCUAGAUUGCAGCGCGAACUGUCAGACUUGAGUGCGCACAACGUAGGCGGAAUUCAUGGUGUAGCGGUGAAAUGCUUAGAUAUCAUGAAGAACUCCGAUUGCGAAGGCAGCUUACGGGAGCGCAACUGACGCUGAAGCUCGAAGGUGCGGGUAUCGAACAGG